rnacentral:rRNA from 1 species
GCAGCCGCGGUAAUACGAAGGGACCUAGCGUAGUUCGGAAUUACUGGGCUUAAAGAGUUCGUAGGUGGUUAAAAAAGUUGGUGGUGAAAUCCCAGAGCUUAACUCUGGAACUGCCAUCAAAACUUUUUAGCUAGAGUAUGAUAGAGGAAAGCAGAAUUUCUAGUGUAGAGGUGAAAUUCGUAGAUAUUAGAAAGAAUACCGAUUGCGAAGGCAGCUUUCUGGAUCAUUACUGACACUGAGGAACGAAAGCAUGGGUAGCGAAGAGGAUUAGAUACCCUCGUAGUCCAUGCCGUAAACGAUGUGUGUUAGACGUUGGAAAUUUAUUUUCUGUGUCGCAGCGAAAGCAAUAAACACACCGCCUGGGGAGUACGACCGCAAGGUUAAAACUCAAAUGAAUUGACGGGGACCCGCACAAGUAGUGGAGCAUGUGGUUUAAUUCGAAGAUACGCGCAGAACCUUACCAACACUUGACAUGUUCGUCGCGACUUUAAGAGAUUAAAGUUUUCGGUUCGGCCGGACGAAACACAGGUGCUGCAUGGCUGUCGUCAGCUCGUGUCGUGAGAUGUUGGGUUAAGUCCCGCAACGAGCGCAACCCUCACUUUUAGUUGCCAUCAUUUAGUUGGGCACUCUGAAAGAACUGCCAGUGAUAAGCUGGAGGAAGGUGGGGAUGACGUCAAGUCCUCAUGGCCCUUACGUGUUGGGCUACACACGUGCUACAAUGGCAUUUACAAUAGGAAGCAAGACGGCGACGUUAAGCAAAUCCUAAAAAAAUGCCUCAGUUCGGAUUGUACUCUGCAACUCGAGUACAUGAAGCUGGAAUUACUAGUAAUCGCGGAUCAGCGCGCCGCGGUGAAUACGUUCCCGGGUCUUGUACACACCGCCCGUCACACCAUGGGAGUUGGUUCUACCUUAAGGCAAAGUUUAAUACCUUUGACCACGGUAUAGUCAGCGACUGGGGUGAAGUCGUAACAAGGUAGCCGUAGGGGAACCUGCGGCUG